GACGAACGCUGGCGGCGUGCUUAACACGUGCAAGUCGAGCGGUAAGGCCCUUUCGGGGGUACACGAGCGGCGAACGGGUGAGUAACACGUGGGUGACCUGCCCUUAGCUCUGGGAUAAGCCUGGGAAACUGGGUCUAAUACCGGAUAUGACUCCAUAACGCAUGUUGUGGGGUGGAAAGCCUUGUGCGGCUAGGGAUGGGCCCGCGGCCUAUCAGCUUGUUGGUGGGGUGAUGGCCUACCAAGGCGACGACGGGUAGCCGGCCUGAGAGGGCGACCGGCCACACUGGGACUGAGACACGGCCCAGACUCCUACGGGAGGCAGCAGUGGGGAAUCUUGCGCAAUGGGCGAAAGCCUGACGCAGCGACGCCGCGUGGGGAUGACGGCCU
rnacentral:rRNA from 1 species